GACGAACGCUGGCGGCGUGCUUAACACAUGCAAGUCGAACGGAAAGGCCCUGCUUUUGUGGGGUGCUCGAGUGGCGAACGGGUGAGUAACACGUGAGUAACCUGCCCUUGACUUUGGGAUAACUUCAGGAAACUGGGGCUAAUACCGGAUAGGAGCUCCUGCUGCAUGGUGGGGGUUGGAAAGUUUCGGCGGUUGGGGAUGGACUCGCGGCUUAUCAGCUUGUUGGUGGGGUAGUGGCUUACCAAGGCUUUGACGGGUAGCCGGCCUGAGAGGGUGACCGGCCACAUUGGGACUGAGAUACGGCCCAGACUCCUACGGGAGGCAGCAGUGGGGAAUAUUGCACAAUGGGCGGAAGCCUGAUGCAGCAACGCCGCGUGCGGGAUGACGGCCUUCGGGUUGUAAACCGCUUUCGCCUGUGACGAAGCGUGAGUGACGGUAAUGGGUAAAGAAGCACCGGCUAACUACGUGCCAGCAGCCGCGGUGAUACGUAGGGUGCGAGCGUUGUCCGGAUUUAUUGGGCGUAAAGGGCUCGUAGGUGGUUGAUCGCGUCGGAAGUGUAAUCUUGGGGCUUAACCCUGAGCGUGCUUUCGAUACGGGUUGACUUGAGGAAGGUAGGGGAGAAUGGAAUUCCUGGUGGAGCGGUGGAAUGCGCAGAUAUCAGGAGGAACACCAGUGGCGAAGGCGGUUCUCUGGGCCUUUCCUGACGCUGAGGAGCGAAAGCGUGGGGAGCGAACAGGCUUAGAUACCCUGGUAGUCCACGCUGUAAACGGUGGGUACUAGGUGUGGGGUCCAUUCCACGGGUUCCGUGCCGUAGCUAACGCUUUAAGUACCCCGCCUGGGGAGUACGGCCGCAAGGCUAAAACUCAAAGGAAUUGACGGGGCCCCGCACAAGCGGCGGAGCAUGCGGAUUAAUUCGAUGCAACGCGUAGAACCUUACCUGGGUUUGACAUGGAUCGGGAGUGCUCAGAGAUGGGUGUGCCUCUUUUGGGGUCGGUUCACAGGUGGUGCAUGGCUGUCGUCAGCUCGUGUCGUGAGAUGUUGGGUUAAGUCCCGCAACGAGCGCAACCCUUGUUCACUGUUGCCAGCACGUUAUGGUGGGGACUCAGUGGAGACCGCCGGGGUCAACUCGGAGGAAGGUGGGGAUGACGUCAAGUCAUCAUGCCCCUUAUGUCCAGGGCUUCACGCAUGCUACAAUGGCUGGUACAGAGAGUGGCGAGCCUGCGAGGGUGAGCGAAUCUCGGAAAGCCGGUCUCAGUUCGGAUUGGGGUCUGCAACUCGACCUCAUGAAGUCGGAGUCGCUAGUAAUCGCAGAUCAGCAACGCUGCGGUGAAUACGUUCCCGGGGCU
rnacentral:rRNA from 1 species